ensembl:scaRNA
GCCCUCUCUCCCAUUGGGCUGUGGGAGUUAUUUUUCUCCUCGGCCAGGGCGGGAGGCCAAGAUCAGCCUUGAGGACCAUCAUCAGGACUGCUCCUAGCCAGGCAGCCCUGUUUUCCUCCCUCACACAUUU